UAGACUUUGGAAAAACUGUUGUGACAGAUGAUAAAUAUAGAGAUCUGCUUAAAAAAUCCUCAUCAAAUUUGAAGAUCAAACCUCACAAAGUUGUGAACAACAAAGAUGAAGUCAUAGAAUUGUUCUCCUCAGUUGACUGCAAGGUUU